UAAGGGGUAGGACAAUCAAUUGUUUUUGCUUCUGUUCUUAAUGCGUUAUUAAUUACUAGGGGAGGCUAGGGAUAGCAAGCCAGUAACUAAUAAUAGGCUCUUUUCGCCGAGGGAUCGGGUUAAGGGUAGACUAAAAAAGUUUGCAUGACAAUUAGAUAACAAAGCGAAACAAAUAAGAAGAGUAAAUUUAUGAGAGUGAUUGGGUGAAAUUUGAAUCCUAGCAACAAAUCCAUCUCAUAUUAUCAACAUCCUCCAUCCACUUUUGUGUUUAACCUCAAUUGAUCAAAUUGCAUUCAUGUUUAUUUUUCCACACUUUAUAUUGAAAAUUCCCAAAAUAUUAUUUUUAUAGUCUUGAUUGGUUAAGCAAAAGCACAACAGUUUAGUGUCGUGAGUCUCUUGGGAAAACGAUACUUGGACUUACCAUUUAUUAUUAAUUGAAACAAUUUGGUACGCUUGCCAAUUUGUUAACA
rnacentral:lncRNA from 1 species